GACGUAGGUGGCGAACGUUAUCCGGAAUUAUUGGGCGUAAAGGGUGCGUAGGCGGCAUGAUAAGUUAUUGGCGGUAAAUCGAGGCUCAACCUCGUGGAAACUGAUAAUACUGUUUUGCUUGAGUACAGGAGAGGUUAACGGAACUCCAUGUGGAGCGGUAAAAUGUGUAGAUAUAUGGAAGAACAUCAAUAACGGCGAAGGCAGUUAACUAUUCUGUCACUGACGUUGAGGCACGGAAGCGUGGGGAGCAAAAAGG
rnacentral:rRNA from 1 species